UUUCCGUAGGUGAACCAGCGGAAGGAUCAUUACAGUGUAACCAAGCUGCGUGAACUGUCGCUAACCCACACGUAAAUACACGCUUCAGCGCCCCCAGAAACAUCUCACCCACCCCUGCGUCCCCCCCCGCACCCCCCCCCCUCUUGUUUUUAACGAAAUGGCCUCACGGUUUAACGUACUUUAAUUAGUCAGAACUUUCAACAACGGUUCUUUUGGUUCUGGCACCGACGAAACACCUAUCAGAUAGGAAUAGCUUACCUCUGAACUCGAGUAACAGAG
rnacentral:misc_RNA from 1 species